CUUUCUCAAUCGCUCCGUUCGCGGUGGUCAGUUGGUCUUUGUCUGUCGCGCGCGUUCCGUGAUCGGGGUGUUGUCGAAAGGGUGGAGGUGUCAGGCGCCAGUCGCUACGCGGACGUUGAGCUCGAGAUUUCUGUUCUUUGUCGCGAGACUUUUUCUUUUAUGAAUACAGUGUUCACGAUCGUUAGAUAUUUAUUCGAUUUAUUCGCGGUGACAUGCGUUUUUUCAUUGUUAAUCGUGAUCGGAUCCGAUCGAAUGUUGCAUCCGCGUGACAUCGAUCGAGGAGGAAACUCGAUCUCGAUCGUUGAUUCCGUGUGUCCGAAAAUCGCGCUCAUGUGACCAUUGCUUGAUAAAGAAUGAUGAAGAAUAAGUGUCGUAUGUGAGACCAAGGAUAUUGAAUGCAUAAACGUUUUCGAUUGUUGUGAUUUGAUUACUAAUUACGGAGGAUAUUUCAUAGUGUUAUAUGUGUAACAAUGGAACUGCAUCGUAUGUAACGGAUAUCGACAGUGAUUCAAUGCUACCAUGAGACACAUGGAAUCGUGACGAUUUCGAUGUGAUUCUAUUUAAAAAAAAGGUGUGUCUCAAUUUUGAUUCAAGAUCACGUUGGAUUAUGUUUUGAUUCAACCAGAGGAGUUUGUAGUUGUCGGCAUAACUCAUCGGACCACUCGACGGAUGAGUAACGAAGCGUGGCCCGCUCUCAAGGUACAACAACUAAAUACUUAAGAUGUUAACGGGAAUCAAUGGAUUCUUCAUAACGAGGUUGUUGGCAUGUAUUCAUUAUUGUUGUUGUUAUUAUUAUUUCUUGAUAUCGAUUUCUUGCUAUUAUUUGUUAGGAAUUUGCAUUUUAAGAUCA